GCCCAGACUCCUACGGGAGGCAGCAGUGGGGAAUAUUGGGCAAUGGGCGCAAGCCUGACCCAGUAACGCCGCGUGAAGGAAGAAGGCUUUCGGGUUGUAAACUUCUUUUAAGGGGGAAGAGGAGAAGACGGUACCCCUUGAAUAAGCCACGGCUAACUACGUGCCAGCAGCCGCGGUAAUACGUAGGUGGCAAGCGUUGUCCGGAUUUACUGGGUGUAAAGGGCGUGCAGCCGGGAGGACAAGUCAGAUGUGAAAUCCCGCGGCUCAACCGCGGAACUGCAUUUGAAACUGUUUUUCUUGAGUACCGGAGAGGCCAUCGGAAUUCCUUGUGUAGCGGUGAAAUGCGUAGAUAUAAGGAAGAACACCAGUGGCGAAGGCGGAUGACUGGACUGUAACUGACGUUGAGGCUCGAAAGCGUGGGGAGCAAACAGGAUUAGAUACCCUAGUAG
rnacentral:rRNA from 1 species